rnacentral:lncRNA from 1 species
GCCAGGGUUCCUUUGUGUGUCCACUGAUGUUUCUCGAUGGUAGCUAGGAAGACUUUUGUGUGCUGGGCUGGUAGUAAUACAAGAGGUAACCCCAGGACAGUUUCUGCACAAUGAAGUUGUGCCAGUAGAGCUGCAGAAAAAUAACUCUCCAUUCUGACCUUUAUUUAUAGAAGUGACAACAGGUGCCUUGACUUCUUUCCCUUUCCUCCUUAGGGAAGACAUUCUUCCAAGUAUCAAGAAAGGGAGCCCUUGCUUCCCUGGAAGAUAUUUAGUCCAGCAAUCCCACUCCAGUUCCAUGUGACCAUUCCUAAUUUGAGCCAGUUUUGGAAAGGAAGUCAUCUCACAUGCCACCUUGGAAGGCAGAGAAACACAGAUAAUCAGGUAAGUGGUCAGAACAUGGUAAAGCCUCCACAUACACGUGACCCCCCCCCUUCAUGUUUUGGCUUUCAAUUCUCAGCCAGUCUGUCCUUUUGGAAUUUGGUG